AGACAGAUGGAUCCUGUUCAAAUAGUAGUAUAGAUGGCGUUAGUUUGACUUCUAUAACUCACGACCUGUGAUGAGCUAGGACCUUUUUUUCAGGAGUUGUGUAACAUUGAAGUCCGGAGAGGUACCGAAAGCGGCGAGUUCCUCGAAUCCUCGUCCUUUCCUGAAAGAAGACCAAGACCCUACCAUGAGGCUUCCCGGUUCCCGAUCGCCGAUUCUGAGCCUCAUUUGCAUCAUCGUGAGCCGCGGCUUCCUGAUGUCAGAAUCAGAUGGCCACGAACGCCAAACAGUGAAAGCGGAUUUCCGUUGCUACGUACAAGCUCCAGCUGCGGCCUGCGGUUUAGCUUGUGCUAAACCGUCAACGAUAAUAACAAUAGUUAUUAUGUGCAUCGCUGAGAUAUUUCUGUACGUACUAAGAGAAGAAUAUUACGAAGAAUAUCAUCAUCAAACAUGCACCAUGCAUGUUGCAUAACUAACGUGUUAUACGAGUAGUUGAAGGUUUUCACAAAUACGGGUAACGGGAUGAAAUGAUAAUUGCGACGAGACACAGCAACAGUUGCCUUCCUCAACCUCAAUGUACUGCCUAUUGUGAUUUUCGGACGGUGAACCAAGCCCCUUGGCGGCCUUGGCCAUGACAUCGUGUUCUCAAUGUGCAGUGUUGCCAUAAUGGGGUGUAUAAAAAAGUCACUGGUUACUGAUGAGAUAUCAUGAAAAAUAAAAUCAAGAACAUCGUGAA